GGCAGCCCACUCCAGUGUUCUUGCCUGGAGAAUCCCAGGGACGGGGGAGCCUGGUGGGCUGCCGUCUCUGGGGUCGCACAGAGUCGAACAUGACUGAAGUGACUUAGCAGUAGCAGCAGUCUUGAUUGACACUUUGUGGACAGGAGGUAAGCACAGAAUACAUGUGUCAGAAUAGGAAGACUGGGCUUCCUCUGGGCCAGGUCUCUGGAGAGGCAUUUUUAAAGGGUGUUUCUGUUCUUCCAGGCUUAGGAUCAAAACUUCAGGAAAUGAUUUGACGAUAAUGUAGUAUUAAUACGGAAAAUGAAAAUUCCCCCUGCCAAGGAAACUGCAUUUUAUCUCAUCUCUUUCCCGAAAAAUCCAAAAGAUAGUAUGAUGUCAGUUAACUGUGUCAGGAAGAAAUCAGCAUUAUUAUAGUGACAACUUUUCACAUGAAUGACAAUGGAAAAAAAACAAAAAAAACCCAGGAAGGAGCAGAUUUAUCUAAUUUACCAGGCAUUCUGGAAGCAUCUGGGGUGAGAGCUACUGCAAACGGCUGCCGAUGGCAGCAACACAGAAGGAAUAUGCAUCUGUGCGUGUGGACAAAUUAAUAUAGAACAGGCUUUAUACCUUCCCCUCCUUCCAGCGAUUCAAAUCUGCUCCAGUUCUGAGAUGUAUGAACCAGAUGGAGAUGGUACACACAGGCAGGAGGGGACAGUUGAAGAGUGUUUCAUCCACAAACAGAUGAGAAAAAGGUUGGUGGACAGCAAUGAAGAAGACCCCACGUGGGCGUGCAUGCUUGAGUUGCUCAGUCGUGUCCAGCUCUUUGUGACCCCAUGGACAGUAGCCUGCCAGGCUCCUCUGUCCAUGGAAUUCUCCAGGCAUGAACACUGGAGUGGGUUGCCCUUUCCUCCUCCAGCCCAUCUGUAAGUACAAGGAAAUAUAUGAAGAGAGGAGACAUGCUUAGUCAAGAGGUGAUUCUAAGACCAAACAGAAAGAAAGGACUGGGGAGUCCUCUGUGAGUCAGUCCAUCUGGUGGUGUUUAUUGAAACACGGAUGCUGGCCCGGCUUCAGGAAAUCCCAUGAUAAAUGGAGAAUUUGGGGAUUAGAACGUGCCCGUCUUCUCCCUGCUCUGACCAUCUGAUGCACAGGUCCUGGCCAGUUAGUGGAGGUGUAAAUUUCAUCUCUGUGCUUCUUUCAAAUGAUAGAUGCCAUAGUAACUUUAAAAUAUUGAAUAAGAUAACCGAGCAUGAAUUUUUAAAUUCUGCAAUUAAAAGACUUUGUUCAAAAUGCCAUUAAUUUUGAGUUUAGGUGGGAAAGAGAAGCAGAAUUCCUCUGAGUCCUUUUUCCUUCUGCAAGUGAAUUAUAACUUUUUAGAAAGUGAAAUAAAUACUAAUGAGCCCUGUAUUCUUGUA